rnacentral:rRNA from 1 species
AGGGGGUUUGAUCCUGGCUCAGGAUGAACGCUGGCGGCGUGCCUAAUGCAUGCAAGUCGAGCGACGCACACCGGAGGGGUAACCCACUGGUAUGACGGAGCGGCGAACGGGUGAGUAACACGUGAGUAACCUGCCCCACAGACCGGGACAGCCCAGGGAAACCUGGAUUAAUACCGGAUACCCUCGGGGGAUCGCAUGAUCUUUCGAGGAAAUGCCUUUGUGCUGUGGGAUGGACUCGCGACUUAUCAGCUAGUUGGUGGGGUAACGGCCUACCAAGGCGUCGACGAGUAGCUGGUCUGAGAGGACGAUCAGCCACACUGGGACUGAGACACGGCCCAGACUCCUACGGGAGGCAGCAGCAGGGAAUCUUGCGCAAUGGGCGAAAGCCUGACGCAGCAACGCCGCGUGGGGGAUGAAGGCCUUCGGGUUGUAAACCCCUUUCAGGAGGGAAGAAAUUGACGGUACCUCCAAAAGAAGCACCGGCCAACUACGUGCCAGCAGCCGCGGUAAUACGUAGGGUGCGAGCGUUAUCCGGAAUCAUUGGGCGUAAAGAGCUCGUAGCGGUUCAGCAAGUCGGCUGUGAAAUUUCGAGGCUCAACCUCGAACUGCAGUCGAAACUGCUGUGACUCGAGUCCGGUAGAGGAGAAUGGAAUU